GUAAGGUUUAUCAGGCACUCAGAAAUGAUUGGCUAAGAAUGAGCCAGAGCUGCCUGGAGAUUCAUUGUUACAGAGUG